AUUGAACGCUGGCGGCAUGCUUUACACAUGCAAGUCGAACGGUAACAGGUCUUCGGAUGCUGACGAGUGGCGAACGGGUGAGUAAUACAUCGGAACGUGCCUAGUAGUGGGGGAUAACUACUCGAAAGAGUAGCUAAUACCGCAUACGAUCUCUGGAUGAAAGCAGGGGACCUUCGGGCCUUGUGCUACUAGAGCGGCCGAUGGCAGAUUAGGUAGUUGGUGGGGUAAAGGCUUACCAAGCCUGCGAUCUGUAGCUGGUCUGAGAGGACGACCAGCCACACUGGGACUGAGACACGGCCCAGACUCCUACGGGAGGCAGCAGUGGGGAAUUUUGGACAAUGGGCGCAAGCCUGAUCCAGCAAUGCCGCGUGCAGGAUGAAGGCCUUCGGGUUGUAAACUGCUUUUGUACGGAACGAAAAGCCUGGGGCUAAUAUCCCUGGGUCAUGACGGUACCGUAAGAAUAAGCACCGGCUAACUACGUG
rnacentral:rRNA from 1 species